UCGCCAUUUUCCGGUUUCCGUUCCCUUGUCAAUUCUAAGAUACGAUGGCAUAAUUUGUUCUUGAUACAAGUACUCUAGAUACUUUUUCCCAACUAUGCGUGGGUCAGAGUUUGAAUAACAAACAAAAAGAAACAGGAUUUUCCUUGAAAAUGUAUCCAAACAACCGUAAAUACAUAUGGGGAACGUCGAAUUUUGAUAUCCGCAGAGUUUAUCGUGUCCGUCAAGCGAUACAACCCAUAAAGGACCAUUCGAAGUAAAUGCCACUUUCGUUUUUUUUGCUUUCUUUCGUAAAC